rfam:Aedes albopictus isolate Foshan contig93517, whole genome shotgun sequence.
UGUUCUGUGACUUAGUUGGUUAAAGCACCGGUCUAGCGAACACGGGGUUGUGGGUUUGAAUCCCACCAGAACGC